CUCUCUUUGUCAGUACAUUACUAAAAUUGGAACAAUACAGCAAAAAUUAGCAUGGCCCCCUGUGCAAGGAUGAUGCACAAAUUCAUGAAGCAUUCCAUAUUUUU